GGGGCUGAUUCUGGAUUCGACGGGAUUUGCGAAACCCAAGGUGCAUGCCGAGGGGCGGUUGGCCUCGUAAAAAGCCGCAAAAAAUAGUCGCAAACGACGAAAACUACGCUUUAGCAGCUUAAUAACCUGCUUAGAGCCCUCUCUCCCUAGCCUCCGCUCUUAGGACGGGGAUCAAGAGAGGUCAAACCCAAAAGAGAUCGCGUGGAAACCCUGCCUGGGGUUGAAGCGUUAAAACUUAAUCAGGCUAGUUUGUUAGUGGCGUGUCCGUCCGCAGCUGGCAAGCGAAUGUAAAGACUGACUAAGCAUGUAGUACCGAGGAUGUAGGAAUUUCGGACGCGGGUUCAACUCCCGCCAGCUCCACCA
rnacentral:tmRNA from 2 species